rnacentral:rRNA from 1 species
CUACGUAGGGUGCAAGCGUUAAUCGGAAUUACUGGGCGUAAAGCGUGCGCAGGCGGUUUUGUAAGACAGUGGUGAAAUCCCCGGGCUCAACCUGGGAACUGCCAUUGUGACUGCAAGGCUGGAGUGCGGCAGAGGGGGAUGGAAUUCCGCGUGUAGCCGUGAAAUGCGUAGAUAUGCGGAGGAACACCGAUGGCGAAGGCAAUCCCCUGGGCCUGCACUGACGCUCAUGCACGAAAGCGUGGGGAGCAAACAGGAUUAGAUACCCUGGUAGUCCACGCCCUAAACGAUGUCAACUGGUUGUUGGGGAUUUAUUUUCUCAGUAACGAAGCUAACGCGUGAAGUUGACCGCCUGGGGAGUACGGCCGCAAGGUUAAAACUCAAAUGAAUUGGCGGGG